GACGAAGGGGGCUAGCGUUGUUCGGAAUUACUGGGCGUAAAGCGCGUGUAGGCGGUUGUCCAAGUUGGAUGUGAAAGCCUUGAGCUUAACUCAAGAAAUGCAUUCAGGACUGGAUGACUAGAGGACCGGAGAGGAUAGUGGAAUUCCCAGUGUAGUGGUGAAAUACGUAGAGAUUGGGAAGAACACCAGUGGCGAAGGCGGCUAUCUGGACGGUUUCUGACGCUAAGACGCGAAAGCAUGGGGAGCAAACAGG
rnacentral:rRNA from 1 species